GGAGAGGUGGCUCAGUGGUUAACAGCACUUGCUUCUCUUGCAGAGGACCUGGGAUCAGUUCCCAGCACCUCUG
rnacentral:tRNA from 1 species